GUCUUGUCUAUAUAUAUAUGUGUGUGUGUGUGUGUGUGUGUGUGUGUGUGUGUGUGUGUGUGUGUGUGUGUGUGUGUGUGUCCUCGUCUGUCCUCAGAGCUGUCGCCGGAUGAGAGACUGGCUCUCCGUCUGCAGCAGGAGCUCGACCAUGAGUUUGAGGCUGAGACACAGGCUCAGGCCCAGGGGAGGGUGGUGGACGUGGACCAGGGAGGCCUGUUCUUCUGCCAGCUCUGCUUCAGGGACCUGUCAGCCAUGAGCCCCCAGCUCCGUACACAACAUAUCAACAGGUCUGGACAACAACACAUCUAAUUUAGCCAAAUAGUGGACACACUUUCUUGCCUCUUUAUCUUUCCUUUUUGUCCGGACACAGGUCCAUAUAAACAAAGGCUUUACAGUGGGGCGAGUUAUGGUUAUAUUUGAAUUAGAGGAGAACAUAACUGAGUGAUUUUGGAGGAAGUAACUGUAGAUCAUUGCCCUCCUGUGACCAGGUGUCUGGAUCAGACAGAGGGCCAGGAGGCCCCAGCCCCGUCUCGCCCUGUGGUCCCUGAGUGCCCCAUCUGUGGGAAGGGCUUCAAGUCGCUCAAAAGUCGCUCCACCCAUCUCAAGCGCUGCUCAGCCGACAUGGGGGUGCCUCCAGCGGCCCUUUUGCAAGCCCUGCACAGACAGGCCAGUGAGGCUGUGAGUGACAGCACAGCUGGCCAAUCUGCCCAAACUGGAGGUCCCAAGAGGAGAAGCCCCUCGGAUCCCAACCAGCCUGCCAGGAAGAAGCCCAAGAAGAAGGCCCAGCCUGUGGAUGAGGACACCAUGGUGGCUCUGGCCCUCUCCCGCUCUCUGCUGGAUCAGGAAGUAGAGAAGGGGAGAGCAAAAGCCAUUGAGGUCCUGGAGGUUAAAGGAGCUGAACUUCAGAUGUCUCUCGGCUCAGCCUUGCAUCGGAAGCCAGCAGCAGGUGACUGCCGAAAUGUGCAGAAAAUGAUGGAUGCCAAUUGGUUUGAUUUUUAAUGACUAAACACAGUUGUUACCCAACAUCAACAUUGUUGUGAG
rnacentral:lncRNA from 1 species